CCUUGACCUCCAGCGAACUUGGCAGAGAUGCCUUGGUGCCUUCGGGAACGCUGAGACAGGUGCUGCAUGGCUGUCGUCAGCUCGUGUUGUGAAAUGUUGGGUUAAGUCCCGCAACGAGCGCAACCCUUAUCCUUUGUUGCCAGCGAUUCGGUCGGGAACUCAAAGGAGACUGCCGGUGAUAAACCGGAGGAAGGUGGGGAUGACGUCAAGUCAUCAUGGCCCUUACGAGUAGGGCUACACACGUGCUACAAUGGCGCAUACAAAGAGAAGCGACCUCGCGAGAGCAAGCGGACCUCAUAAAGUGCGUCGUAGUCCGGAUCGGAGUCUGCAACUCGACUCCGUGAAGUCGGAAUCGCUAGUAAUCGUGGAUCAGAAUGCCACGGUGAAUACGUUCCCGGGCCUUGUACACACCGCCCGUCACACCAUGGGAGUGGGUUGCAAAAGAAGUAGGUAGCUUAACCUUCGGGAGGGCGCUUACCACUUUGUGAUUCAUGACUGGGGUGAAGUCGUAACAAGGUAGGCGUAGCGAG
rnacentral:rRNA from 1 species